UGAAAUGAAGUCUCUGUUUGAAUUGGAGA
rnacentral:piRNA from 1 species